rnacentral:rRNA from 1 species
UACAGAGGGUGCAAGCGUUGUUCGGAAUUACUGGGCGUAAAGCGCGCGCAGGCGGCUAUCCAAGUCAGUGGUGAAAGCCCGGAGCUCAACUCCAGAACUGCCUUCGAUACUGGAAGACUUGAGUCCGGGAGAGGUGAGUGGAACUGCGAGUGUAGAGGUGAAAUUCGUAGAUAUUCGCAAGAACACCAGUGGCGAAGGCGGCUCACUGGCCCGGUACUGACGCUGAGGUGCGAAAAGCGUGGGGAGCAACAGGG